AUGUAUCUGCUCCUCCAGGUCCCUAAAAUCAGGGUGAACUCCACGAGAUUCACCCGCGGUUUUCUUCGUGUCCAAGGUAAAUACAGUAGGCAAAAUGAGGAACCACCAAAGGAUACAGGGGAGGGGGGGGAGAGAGGGAUCCCCUCACCUUUUCCGACACAUUCCUCGUUAAUUUUCACCAGGAGGAAGCGCGCGGCCCAGGUGCCCCCCUCCACCCCAGAGUCCUUCCUUCAACCCCCCUGCUGCGCGCUGGCGGGUGGGCGGCGCGGGGGGAAACGCCUCCGGCAGGCCCGGCCCUCCCCCGCCCCCCGGCUUGGUUUUUCCCAGCUGCGGAGGUUGGGCCAGGGGCUGGGGUGCGAGGAGAGUCGGCGCCCGCAGCGCCGCGCCGAGCGGAGAAGUCGCCGAGACUCGGGGCGGACGGCGUGGUCUUCGGAGGCGGGCGGCGGGGAGCCCGCGGCGGAGGCGCACCCCGGGCGGCGCGGGCACCCCCGUCCUCUGCAGGGAGAGUAGGUAGCUCCGGGGUCCCACGGCCGCUUUGUUCGCGGCGUCUCCCCUCCUCCUCCGAGCGGACUCGAACCCCCCUCCGGGAUCCGAGGGGCUAGCGGGGGCGCGGCCCGGGGAGGGGGGAGGGGGAGAGGGAGGGGGGAGGGAGGAGGGGGCGGCGACAGCUGCUGGGUCCUCCACUUCCUGCUAAUC
rnacentral:lncRNA from 1 species